rnacentral:rRNA from 1 species
ACACAUGCAAGUCGAACGGUAACAGGAAGCAGCUUGCUGCUUYGCUGACGAGUGGCGGACGGGUGAGUAAUGUCUGGGAAACUGCCUGAUGGAGGGGGAUAACUACUGGAAACGGUGGCUAAUACCGCAUAACGUCGCAAGACCAAAGAGGGGGACCUUCGGGCCUCUUGCCAUCAGAUGUGCCCAGAUGGGAUUAGCUUGUUGGUGAGGUAACGGCUCACCAAGGCGACGAUCCCUAGCUGGUCUGAGAGGAUGACCAGCCACACUGGAACUGAGACACGGUCCAGACUCCUACGGGAGGCAGCAGUGGGGAAUAUUGCACAAUGGGCGCAAGCCUGAUGCAGCCAUGCCGCGUGUAUGAAGAAGGCCUUCGGGUUGUAAAGUACUUUCAGCGGGGAGGAAGGUGUUGUGGUUAAUAACCGCAGCAAUUGACGUUACCCGCAGAAGAAGCACCGGCUAACUCCGUGCC